rnacentral:rRNA from 1 species
GGUUAAGCGACUAAGCGUACACGGUGGAUGCCCUGGCAGUCAGAGGCGAUGAAGGGCGUGCUAAUCUGCGAUAAGCGCCGGUAAGGUGAUAUGAACCGUUAUAACCGGCGAUACCCGAAUGGGGAAACCCAGUGUGACUCGUCACACUAUCAUUAACUGAAUCCAUAGGUUAAUGAGGCGAACCGGGGGAACUGAAACAUCUAAGUACCCCGAGGAAAAGAAAUCAACCGAGAUUCCCCCAGUAGCGGCGAGCGAACGGGGAGGAGCCCAGAGCCUGAAUCAGCAUGUGUGUUAGUGGAAGCGUCUGGAAAGGCGCGCGAUACAGGGUGACAGCCCCGUACACAAAAGCGCAUGUGCUGUGAGCUCGAUGAGUAGGGCGGGACACGUGGUAUCCUGUCUGAAUAUGGGGGGACCAUCCUCCAAGGCUAAAUACUCCUGACUGACCGAUAGUGAACCAGUACCGUGAGGGAAAGGCGAAAAGAACCCCGGCGAGGGGAGUGAAAAAGAACCUGAAACCGUGUACGUACAAGCAGUGGGAGCACAGGUUUACCUGUGUGACUGCGUACCUUUUGUAUAAUGGGUCAGCGACUUAUAUUCUGUAGCAAGGUUAACCGUAUAGGGGAGCCGGAGGGAAACCGAGUCUUAAUUGGGCGUUAAGUUGCAGGGUAUAGACCCGAAACCCGGUGAUCUAGCCAUGGGCAGGUUGAAGGUUGGGUAACACUAACUGGAGGACCGAACCGACUAAUGUUGAAAAAUUAGCGGAUGACCUGUGGCUGGGGGUGAAAGGCCAAUCAAACCGGGAGAUAGCUGGUUCUCCCCGAAAGCUAUUUAGGUAGCGCCUCGUGAAUUCAUCUCCGGGGGUAGAGCACUGUUUCGGCUAGGGGGCCAUCCCGGCUUACCAACCCGAUGCAAACUGCGAAUACCGGAGAAUGUUAUCACGGGAGACACACGGCGGGUGCUAACGUCCGUCGUGAAGAGGGAAACAACCCAGACCGCCAGCUAAGGUCCCAAAGUCAUGGUUAAGUGGGAAACGAUGUGGGAAGGCCCAGACAGCCAGGAUGUUGGCUUAGAAGCAGCCAUCAUUUAAAGAAAGCGUAAUAGCUCACUGGUCGAGUCGGCCUGCGCGGAAGAUGUAACGGGGCUAAACCAUGCACCGAAGCUGCGGCAGCGACGCUUAUGCGUUCGUUGGGUAGGGGAGCGUUCUGUAAGCCUGUGAAGGUGGCCUGUGAGGGUUGCUGGAGGUAUCAGAAGUGCGAAUGCUGACAUAAGUAACGAUAAAGCGGGUGAAAAGCCCGCUCGCCGGAAGACCAAGGGUUCCUGUCCAACGUUAAUCGGGGCAGGGUGAGUCGACCCCUAAGGCGAGGCCGAAAGGCGUAGUCGAUGGGAAACGGGUUAAUAUUCCCGUACUUGGUGUUACUGCGAAGGGGGGACGGAGAAGGCUAUGUUGGCCGGGCGACGGUUGUCCCGGUUUAAGCGUGUAGGUGUGUGUUCCAGGUAAAUCCGGUUCACUUUAACACUGAGGCGUGAUGACGAGGCACUACGGUGCUGAAGCAACAAAUGCCCUGCUUCCAGGAAAAGCCUCUAAGCAUCAGGUAACAUCAAAUCGUACCCCAAACCGACACAGGUGGUCAGGUAGAGAAUACCAAGGCGCUUGAGAGAACUCGGGUGAAGGAACUAGGCAAAAUGGUGCCGUAACUUCGGGAGAAGGCACGCUGACAUGUAGGUGAAGUGAUUUACUCAUGGAGCUGAAGUCAGUCGAAGAUACCAGCUGGCUGCAACUGUUUAUUAAAAACACAGCACUGUGCAAACACGAAAGUGGACGUAUACGGUGUGACGCCUGCCCGGUGCCGGAAGGUUAAUUGAUGGGGUCAGCGCAAGCGAAGCUCCUGAUCGAAGCCCCGGUAAACGGCGGCCGUAACUAUAACGGUCCUAAGGUAGCGAAAUUCCUUGUCGGGUAAGUUCCGACCUGCACGAAUGGCGUAAUGAUGGCCAGGCUGUCUCCACCCGAGACUCAGUGAAAUUGAACUCGCUGUGAAGAUGCAGUGUACCCGCGGCAAGACGGAAAGACCCCGUGAACCUUUACUAUAGCUUGACACUGAACAUUGAGCCUUGAUGUGUAGGAUAGGUGGGAGGCUUUGAAGUGUGGACGCCAGUCUGCAUGGAGCCGACCUUGAAAUACCACCCUUUAAUGUUUGAUGUUCUAACGUGGACCCGUGAUCCGGGUUGCGGACAGUGUCUGGUGGGUAGUUUGACUGGGGCGGUCUCCUCCUAAAGAGUAACGGAGGAGCACGAAGGUUGGCUAAUCCUGGUCGGACAUCAGGAGGUUAGUGCAAUGGCAUAAGCCAGCUUGACUGCGAGCGUGACGGCGCGAGCAGGUGCGAAAGCAGGUCAUAGUGAUCCGGUGGUUCUGAAUGGAAGGGCCAUCGCUCAACGGAUAAAAGGUACUCCGGGGAUAACAGGCUGAUACCGCCCAAGAGUUCAUAUCGACGGCGGUGUUUGGCACCUCGAUGUCGGCUCAUCACAUCCUGGGGCUGAAGUAGGUCCCAAGGGUAUGGCUGUUCGCCAUUUAAAGUGGUACGCGAGCUGGGUUUAGAACGUCGUGAGACAGUUCGGUCCCUAUCUGCCGUGGGCGCUGGAGAACUGAGGGGGGCUGCUCCUAGUACGAGAGGACCGGAGUGGACGCAUCACUGGUGUUCGGGUUGUCAUGCCAAUGGCACUGCCCGGUAGCUAAAUGCGGAAGAGAUAAGUGCUGAAAGCAUCUAAGCACGAAACUUGCCCCGAGAUGAGUUCUCCCUGAGACUUAAAGUCUCCUGAAGGAACGUUGAAGACGACGACGUUGAUAGGCCGGGUGUGUAAGCGCAGCGAUGCGUUGAGCUAACCGGUACUAAUGAACCGUGAGGCUUAACCUU